ACUGAAGCUGACCUCCCCUCUGGACACAAAGGCAGCAAUAUUUAAUCUUUGAUCAUUAAUCAAACCAGCUGAUGGGAUAACAGAUAAUUUCACAAAAAACAUAUGAAGUAAAUGUAAACAUUUUAAUGUACAAAGUAGAUAUAGAUCCAUGCUGUUGCAUUCUUGUCUGAUAGAAGUCUUCUUUGUCCUGUUUUUCACUUCAUGAUGUUCCAAAUAUAUUCAGCUUGUGUAAGACUGCCAGCAGACCAGUUCAACAGCUGCACUGUUGUACUAUGAAGUCGUGCUGUAGUAACAGCUACAGUGUUCUGUUUAGCAUUGUUUUGGUUAAUUAUGCAUUUUUUCUUGAAAAAGAAAAAUGCAUAAAAGAGCAUGUUGCUCUAAAACCUGUAUAUAUCUUUCAGCAUUAAUUGUGUCCUUCCAUUAGUACAAACUCCUUAGGGGUCAUGGUCUCCAGGAUCUCUAGGAUGUUGUUGUUUUGCUGUUUCACCCCUCCUCGCCAGGGUGGAGUCAGACUAUAGUCCCCGCCUCUGUCCUCACCUACACAGCACUACUCACCUGUUACCCAUUUACAGUGAUUACUCACCUGCCACUCAUUAUGGAUGAUUACCCCUGCACCACAUAAGCCCUCAGUGGUGUCUGCUUUGUUGCUGGAUCGUUGUGCUAACCUGUGCUUCCCUGGACCCCUGCUUUGUGGACCCCGAAUGGAUGUGAAUGAGCAUGAGUGAGCUUCUCGUGGAUUGGACUUGAACCCAUUGUGAGUCACGGACUGUGUGAAGAGGAGUGUGAAUAUCUCCUACCCUGGACCUUCUCCCCUGGAUUCCUUGGAGCCCCCCUCUCUGUCUUCACUGCAUAUAUGUGUAUAUUUCACCUGGUGUGCAUCUGUAAAUAAAAACCCCUUUCACUUUUUACCAGUCCUGCAGCUAUCAAACCUUGACAUCAGGCACUAAUGCACUUCCAUACCAUCAGAGAUGCAGGCUUUUGACCUAAGCGCUGGCAACAAAUCAGAUGUUCUCUCUCUCUCUCUCUUUUUUUUUAAGCCCAAGGGAUUUUUUUUUUUUCCCAAAACACAUUCAAAUUUAUCAGUCCACACAACAGUGUGAACAGAACUUUGGCUUGGAGAAGACAGCAGUGUUUCUGGAUCAUGUUCACAUCUGGCUUCUUCAUUAACAUGAACCUGCAUUCAUGGAUGGGAUGUUGAACCGUGUUCACAAACGGUGAUUUCUUGAAGUGUUCCCAAGCCCAUGCAAUGAUUUUUAUGAAUCACACCUGGUUUUAAUGUUGUGCUGCCUGAUAGCCUGAACAUAGUGUAAUGAUUUUUGACCUUCUCCUUUUGUAUGGAGAAAUUUCUCCAGAUUCUCAGAAUUAUUUGAUGACAUUAUGUAUGGUAGAUUCAAAGAUGUUGCACUUUUACAUUGAGGAACAAUAUUGUGAAACUGUUCCACAUUUUAUAGAAACAAUUUUUUUUUUUUUUUUGAGAAUCAAUGCCAAU